UGCGCAGGCGGAACUUUAAGUCAGUGGUGAAAUCUUGCCGCUUAACGGUAAAAUUGCCAUUGAUACUGAAGUUCUUGAAUAUGGUUGAGGUAGGCGGAAUGUGUUGUGUAGCGGUGAAAUGCAUAGAUAUGACACAGAACGCCGAUUGCGAAGGCAGCUUACUAAGCCAUGAUUGACGCUGAGGCACGAAAGCGUGGGGAGCGAACAGGAUUAGAUACCCUGGUAGUCC
rnacentral:rRNA from 1 species